rnacentral:rRNA from 1 species
AUUGAACGCUGGCGGCAGGCCUAACACAUGCAAGUCGAGCGAGCGUCGGACGGGUGAGUAAUGUAUGGGGACUGCCCGAUAGAGGGGGAUAACUCCUGGAAACGGUAGCUAAUACCGCAUACUAUCGGAUAACCCAUAUGGUAUUAGCUAGUAGGUGAGGUAAUGGCUCACCUAGGCGACGAUCCCUCGCUGUGCUGAGAGGAUGAUCAGCCACACUGGGACUGAGACACGGCCCAGACUCCAAGGGAGGCAGCAGUGGGGAAUAUUGCACAAGGGGCGCAAGCCUGAUGCAGCCAUGCCGCGGGUAUGAAGAAGGCCAUAGGGUUGUAAAGUACUUUCAGUCGGGAGGCGUUACCGACAGAAGAAGCACCGGCUAACUCCGUGCCAGCAGACGCGGUAAUUC